CUGGUUGAUCCUGCCAGUAGUGAUAUGCUUGUUUCAAAGAUUAAGCCAUGCAUGUCUAAGUAUAAGCGAACUUAUACAGUGAAACUGCGGAUGGCUCAUUAAAACAGUUUGAAUUUAUUUGAUGAAUGUAUGAGAAUACUACUUGGAUAACCGUAGUAAUUCUAGAGCUAAUACAUGCAACGACGCCCGACCGUUUCACUACGGAAGGGCUGUAUUUAUUGGAUACCAAAACCAUCCUUCCCUCGGGAAGUUUUGUUUGAUGAUUCACAAUAACUGAUCGGAUCGCCACUGUGGUGGCGACAGGUCACUCAACAUUCUGCCCUAUCAGCUUUCGAUGGUUGUGUAGUGGACAACCAUGGCCAUAACGGGUAACGGAGAAUCAGGGUUCGAUUCCGGAGAAGGAGCUUGAGAAUUGGCUACUACAUCUAAGGAAGGCAGCAGGCGCGCAAAUUACCCAAUCCCGAUUCGGGGAGGUAGUGACAAAAAAUAACAAUACCGGGCCUUUUUGGGCUUGGUAAUUGGAAUGAGGGAGAGUUAAACGGACCAUCGAGUAUCCAUUGGAGGGCAAGUCUGGUGCCAGCAGCUGCGGUAAUACCAGCUCCAAUAGCGUAUAUUAAAGUUGUUGCAGUUAAAAAGCUCGUAGUUGGACUUGUGUGCGCUGUCCGCGGGUGGCCUGCGCCCAAAAGGGCGUUUCGGUUCGGCCCCGGUGGCGCCUUGAAAUCUGCAGCUGGGGGGACGUUGGCCUUAACUGGUCGGCGACCGCACGCCGGCUGCUCGGUUACUGUGAGAAAACUAGAGUGUUCAAGGCAGGCAUUGGGUGCAAUUGAAUACAUUAGCAUGGAAUAAUAAAAUAUGGCUCCUGCCGUAUUUUGUUGGUUUUGACUGGUGGGAGUAAUGAUUGAUAGGGACGGUUGGGGGUGCUAGUAUUGAGCGGCCAGAGGUGAAAUUCAUGGAUUCGCUCAAGACUAACUUAUGCGAAAGCAUUCACCAAGGACGUCCUCUUUAAUCAAGAACGAAAGUUGGGGGAUCGAAGACGAUCAGAUACCGUCGUAGUCUCAACCAUAAACUAUGUCGACUUGGGAUCGGCGGUAGUUUUUUCAUUAAGACACUGUCGGGACCACGGGAGAAAUCAAAGUGUCUGGACUCUGGGGGAAGUAUGGUCGCAAGGCUGAAACUUGAAGGAAUUGACGGAAGGGCACCACCAGGAGUGGAGCCUGCGGCUUAAUUUGACCCAACACGGGGAAACUUACCAGGUCCAGAGAUGUAGAGGAUUGACAGAUUGAAGCUCUUUCUUGAUCACUUCGGUGGUGGUGCAUGGCCGUUCUUAGUUGGUGGAGUGAUUUGUCUGGUUAAUUCC
rnacentral:rRNA from 1 species